rnacentral:rRNA from 1 species
CAGCCGCCGCGGUAAUACCGGCGGCUCGAGUGGUGGCCACUAUUACUGGGCUUAAAGCGUUCGUAGCUGGUUUGUUAAGUCUCUGGGGAAAUCUUCCGGCUUAACCGGAAGGCGUCUCAGGGAUACUGGCAGACUAGGGACCGGAAGAGGUGAGAGGUACUCCAGGGGUAGGAGUGAAAUCCUGUAAUCCUUGGGGGACCACCUGUGGCGAAGGCGUCUCACCAGGACGGCUCCGACAGUGAGGGACGAAAGCUGGGGGAGCAAACCGGAUUAGAUACCCGGGUAGUCCCAGCCGUAAACGAUGUGCAUUAGGUGUAUCGGUGACCACGAGUCACCGAGGUGCCGAAGAGAAAUCGUGAAAUGCACCGCCUGGGAAGUACGGUCGCAAGGCUGAAACUUAAAGGAAUUGGCGGGGGAGCACCACAACAGGUGGAGCCUGCGGUUUAAUCGGACUCAACGCCGGGAAACUCACCAGAUAAGACAGCUGAAUGAUAGUCGGGCUGAAGACUCUACUUGACUAGCUGAGAGGAGGUGCAUGGCC